AUGAUUGGUGGCUUCUGAAAGUGCCGCGCCGGCCAAGCCUGGUCCGCUGGGCUUCUGCUCGCGGACAGCAGCGGCUUCGAUGGGCGUGGCAGGAGGAAGGAGAGGAGCGGAGCUGCAUGUGGAUCUCCCGAUGUCCAGCAUGCUGAGACUGAGGCGUGGAGAUGAGGGGAGGCCGACGGAGCAGCGUGCAACUGACGGGACGAGGGAGGUGCGGCGAGCGGAGCUCCGGGAGCCGCCCAAAUGGCGCGUGCCAAGAACGUCCUUUGAGCCGCUUGAGGCGCCUCGUUGCUCCGGUCAGUGUCUCCCCGUGUCGUGUGAGUCAUCCUCGCCGCAGGAGCCAGGUAACUAUUUUGUUCGACAAACCUGGGAGGGGACAAAUUUAUUGCUCACUAAUUUUCAAUCGUACCAUUUGAAAAUUGUCAAGUCUUCUUUCCCAGGAUCAAGACGAGAUAAACGAAGCCAUGUUCUGCAUGAAUAAAGAAUCAGACGGAUCUGAACCCGAGAUAUGGCCAAUAGAAUAUGUAUAGUUGAGCUGCUCAGAUCUCGGAUUGCGAGGCUUUUAAAAAGCAUAUCCGAUCUGCAUCAUAAACCUGAGAACCAUUUGCAGCAUAUCCGGUCUGCAUCCUAAACCUGUGGAAACUGGAGAGUGCUCGAGGAAAGAAGAAAAUUACAGUCCAGUGCAGGCAGUUCAAACCGGCUUAAGGAAAUGAGUAAUGACAAGGUUAAUGAUUACUGCAAGAUGUUCAAGAAUGAGAACCAUCUUGGGAAUGCUACAGUAAUUACCUUAUCACAGUAUGCAAGAUACUUACUUGUGGAAGACCUCAAGGGGGACAGUGAUCCGCAUAGAAGUACUGUAUUGCUGGCUAGCGUUGCCUUCUUGUUCCUCGCUACCUUUGGUUCAUACCGUCGCCGGCGCAGAAACUGGUUCAUCCAGAAAGGUGUCUUCGCC